rnacentral:rRNA from 1 species
UACGAAGGGUGCAAGCGUUAAUCGGAAUUACUGGGGCGUAAAGCGUGCGUAGGCGGUUCGUUAAGUCUGUCGUGAAAGCCCCGGGCUCAACCUGGGAAUUGCAUUCGAGACUGCAUUGCUGGAGUACGGAAGAGGAGGGCGGAAUUCCCGGUGUAGCGGUGAAAUGCGUAGAUAUCGGGAGGAACAUCAGUGGCGAAGGCGGCCCUCUGGUCCAGUACUGACACUCAAGUGCGAAAGCGUGGGGAGCAAACAGG